GAGGAGGGGCUAGGUGACUGCCAUAUCUCAAAAGGCUGCUCACACCAGCUCCACAGUCAAUAAAAAGCAAUACCCCAACACACUCAGAAAUGUCAGCUGGUCACGUGAACAUUUUCCAAAAAGAGAGAAAACUCAAAGUAAAUUUCCUCUUUGAAAAAUGAAAAAAUGCUUACCUAAGAAAAAAAAUUAUCAUCAAGGCAUGAAUCUCAUAGACUUAUUUUAAGAAAAAAGUAGAGUUAAUCAGUAAUAAGCUCAUAUCUAAGUGGCAGCAAAGAUGUUUUUAUAAAGUCAACAGGAAGUCCUCUCAUGGACCCCUGUUACAUGUAAUUUCACAGCCCAAGGAUGAUAUUCACUGUACCUGAAUCAAAGGCAUUUGUCAACUUCUAAACAAGUGACUACUUAAUGUAACUGUCACAGCUGAUGAAGAAAGAAACCAAACUGCUAACAGAAUCAGCCCAGCACUCUUUACAAAGAUACUAAGAGCCCUUAAGAAAACAAGCAAAUGUCGGUCUACAUUGAAGCCUUUCACUUUGAGCACCUGAGUGAUCUGGAUGAAGAUGACAACAACUGAAGAGACAUGCAGUACCAACUCCUCAGAGCUCACAGGACAGAACUAGCAAUGCUUUUCAGCUAAGCAGUAAUCUGCUGUUUCUGAUUUCAUCUGGGCAAUAUUUUCAAAUCAUGUGCUUAAAAUCUAAUCACUUCAUUAAAUUAUGUUAUUCCAUUCAGAUAUGUCCCCAUUGAUUUCUCACAAUUAUGCUAGAUUGGUGAAUUGGAACAUAAGCACUCACCACCAUCUAGAAUAUUACACAAUGCCUAGCAUUGGAAAAAACUAAAUAAUCAAUACUCAGUAAACAAACAAAACCCUGAUGAAUUUGAAGAAGGUUCUAUUAUAGAUACACCUACUUGGAUAAGAUGUCUCUCCAUUUGGUCCAUCUAUACACAUAAAUAGCACAAAAUAUUUUCAUUUUUGCAUGUUCCUCAUCUUUCCUGGGAGUCUUUAUGAACUGUUUUAUGUACUUCCAUGCCUCAUCGAACAUCAUCAAACAGCAUCAAACCCAACCCAGAGGAGAAAUAACUAAUGAAGGAACAGUUACUAAAGCAAAGAAAAGGAAACUUUAAAAGAAAGGACUUUUUAAUAAAAACAGGUCUACUUUCUCCUUGGGACUCAAAACAGGAAAUCAUGUGCAUAAAGAAAGAACAAGUUGUUAUGAAGGUGGAGUUUAUUAUGGUCAAAGUAAGAAGGUCAGCAGCUGGCUGGUUCAGGGGCAGGAUGGACACGGCUGUAAGAAAAUGUCAGAGAGAGCAAGCCAUGGAAUUUACCCACCAAUUCAGUACAGGAAAAAGCAAAAUUUGAACAAAAAACAGUUAAAUAAUAUGUAGACUAGAUACAAGACUUUCAAUAUCUAAUAGCUCCUGAAGAAAGAAAUGAAAAAUCCAAAUUACAGAAAACAAAAUUCGUAGGGAAUAGAAAGGCCCCACUGAGCAUCCAGUGAGAUGGAUGAAGAUGGUCACCUCACUGGAUGCUGGUUCAUGGGUCAUAGAUGUCCUCGGACAUGCCAUGCAGAGAUGUCAAAACCACAGCAAAAAGAUAAAGUACUAUUUCAAGCGGGGAGUUCUGUCCAAGUGCAGAUUAAUACAGCCCUUCAGACAAUCUUAAUUUUUGCAGUAUUUAGUAAAAUAUUAAAAAUGUAGAUACUUUUCAAUCACGAUUUCACUUCCUAGUAUAUCUCAGAAGAGCAUUUGUUUAAGUACUGAGAAAAGCAGGUACUGCUUUUAGUACUGAAGUACUUUGAGUACUGAAAAAAGAAUUUUCAGUGCAACAUUAUUUAAAAAUUUUUUGAAAAUAAAAUAUUUCACUUAAAAGAAUGAAAAAUUUGGUACCCCCCCAAAAAAAGAAUGAAAAAUUAAACCACCUAAUAUCCAGCCAAGAGGGAAAUGGAUGAAAUACCUGUGGCUCUUUUAAACUUGUGCUUUAACACCUAAACAGGCAGCUACUUACAUUUAAAUUAACUAAACUCAAAUGAAAUCAAGGAUUCCAUUCUCUAGUCACACUGGGCAGUUCAGCUGCCAUUCUGAAGGCAGAGUGAACAUUUUCACUGGCAUAGAAAGUAAUAUCCAUUACAGUUGGUCUGAACUUUGGAAUACUGUGUAACAAUCAUGAAGAAAGAGGUAAUCCUAUAUAUCUAAACAUGGAAAGACCACCAGAUACUAGUUCAGGAAAGGAAAGAAAGUUACGAUUUGGAUUCCUGUGGUGGCAGGCAAAGGAUGGCCUGCCGCAGGACUUAAUGGAGUCAUGGCAGUGCCCUUUGUGGAAGACUGGGACUUGGUACAAACCCUGGGAGAAGGUGCCUAUGGAGAAGUUCAACUUGCUGUGAAUAGAAGAACUGAAGAAGCAGUUGCAGUGAAGACUGUGGAUAUGAAACGUGCCAUAGACUGUCCAGAAAAUAUUAAGAAAGAGAUCUGUAUCAACAAAAUGUUAAAUCAUGAGAAUGUAGUGAAAUUUUACGGUCACAGAAGAGAAGGCAAUAUCCAGUAUCUAUUUUUGGAGUACUGCAGUGGGGGAGAACUUUUUGAUAGAAUAGAGCCAGACAUAGGCAUGCCUGAACAAGACGCUCAGAGGUUCUUCCAUCAACUUAUGGCAGGGGUGGUUUAUCUGCAUGGUAUUGGAAUAACUCACAGGGAUAUUAAACCAGAAAAUCUCCUAUUGGAUGAAAGGGAUAACCUCAAAAUCUCUGACUUUGGCUUGGCAACCGUGUUUCAGCAUAAUAAUCGGGAGCAUUUGUUGAACAAGAUGUGUGGUACUUUACCAUAUGUUGCUCCAGAACUUCUAAAGAGAAAAGAAUUUCAUGCAGAGCCAGUCGAUGUUUGGUCCUGUGGAAUAGUACUUACUGCAAUGUUGGCUGGAGAAUUGCCAUGGGACCAGCCUAGUGAUAGUUGUCAGGAAUGUUGUGAUUGGAAAGAAAAGAAAACAUACCUCAACCCUUGGAAAAAAAUUGAUUCUGCUCCUCUAGCUCUGCUACAUAAAAUCUUAGUUGAGAACCCAUCAGUAAGGAUUACCAUCCCAGACAUCAAGAAAGAUAGAUGGUACAACAAACCACUCAAGAAAGGGGCAAAGAAGCCCCAGGCUACUUCUAGUGGUGUAUCAGAGUCUCCUGGUGGAUUCUCUAAACAUAUUCAUUCCAACUUGGACUUCUCUCCAGUAAACUGUGCUUCUAGUGAAGAAAGUGUGAAGUACUCCAGUUCUCAGCCAGAACCACGGACAGGCCUUUCCUUAUGGGACACCAGCCCUUCAUACAUUGACAAACUGGUACAAGGGAUCAGCUUUACCCAGCCCACUUGUCCUGAUCACAUGCUUCUAAAUUGUCAGUUGCUUGGCACUCCAGGAUCCUCACAGAACCCCUGGCAGCGCUUAGUCAAAAGAAUGACACAAUUUUUUACCAAAUUGGAUGCAGACAAAUCUUACCAAUGCCUGAAAGAGACUUGUGAGAAAUUGGGCUAUCAGUGGAAGAAAAGUUGUAUGAAUCAGGUUACUGUAUCAACAACUGAUAGAAGAAACAAUUUUAGCUGAUUUUCAAAGUGAUCUGGUAGAAAUGGAUGAGAAGAUCUUAGUUGACUUCCGGCUUUCUAAGGGUGAUGGAUUGGAAUUCAAGACACUUCCUGAAGAUCAAGGGGAAACUGAGUGAUGUUGUGAGCAGCCAGGUUUGGCUUCCUGUCACAUGAUAGAUCCACUGGUUCUGGGAUUCCUGGAGAAUAUAGUGCUGCUAUGUGGACAUUAUUCUUCCUAGAGAAGAUUAUCUAUUCUGCAAACUGCAAACAGUAGUCCCUGAAGAGUUGUCUUCCCUCUAGCCAAACAUUUUCCAAUUCUUCUGUAUAUUCUUCAUACAAAUAAUAUCUGUAUCUUAACUGUAAGUGAAACUUUGGGGAAAGGGUGGAUAGAAUUCA